rnacentral:rRNA from 1 species
GAUGAACGCUGGCGGCGUGCUUAACACAUGCAAGUCGAACGAUGAAGCCCAGCUUGCUGGGUGGUUUAGUGGCGAACGGGUGAGUAACACGUGAGUAACCUGCCCUUAACUCUGGGAUAAGCCUGGGAAACUGGGUCUAUUACCGGAUAGGAGCGCCUACCGCAUGGUGGGUGUUGGAAAGAUUUAUCGGUUUUGGAUGGACUCGCGGCCUAUCAGCUUGUUGGUGAGGUAAUGGCUCACCAAGGCGACGACGGGUAGCCGGCCUGAGAGGGUGACCGGGCACACGGGGACUGAGACACGGCCCAGUCGCCAACGGGGGGCAACAGGGGAGAAUAUUGCACAAUGGGGGAAAGUGUGAGGAAAAGGUGCUGGGUGAGGGAAGAACGCCUUCGGGGUGGAAACCGCUUUCAGUAAGGAAGAAGCGAAAGUGACGGUACCUGCAGAAGAAGCACCGGCUAACUACGUG